GGGGUCGACAUUGGAUUUGACAGCGAUAGCGGUAGUCAAGUGUCAGCAUGCAGAGGGUUGAGAUGAACCUCUUAAAUAUCUUGUCUCGAACAAUAAUUGACAAUACGUCAUACGCACUUGCUGCUUAAUUAACUGAUAGUUAGUUGGCUUUAUCCGAUCGAAGUAUAGUAGGUUGGACGAGUACUUCCGGUAAAUUUCUGCCUGUUAGAUUUACCAAUCGGAAGUUCAUCCCAUCAGGCUAGCCGGUGUGAUGUUUCUAAGCGCUGGUGAAACUUUAGAAGCUAAGUUGGGAGCUUGGGUGUUCUUGUCCGUCUCACAAUCUAAAACCAAUCAAGAAAUAAGCAUGUAGAAAGCUAGAGUAUUCGUCGUUUGGACGAGGGUUCGAACCCCUCCGACUCCACGA
rnacentral:tmRNA from 1 species